rnacentral:rRNA from 1 species
GAUGAACGCUGACAGAAUGCUUAACACAUGCAAGUCUACUUGAACUUCGGUUUGGGUGGCGGACGGGUGAGUAACGCGUAAAGAACUUGCCUCACAGAUAGGGACAACAUUUGGAAACGAAUGCUAAUACCUGAUAUUAUGAUUUUAGGGCAUCCUAGAUUUAUGAAAGCUAUAUGCACUGUGAGAGAGCUUUGCGUCCCAUUAGCUAGUUGUAGAGGUAACGGCUCACCAAGGCGAUGAUGGGUAGCCGGCCUGAGAGGGUGAUCGGCCACAAGGGGACUGAGACACGGCCCGUACUCCUACGGGAGGCAGCAGUGGGGAAUAUUGGACAAUGGACCAAGAGUCUGAUCCAGCAAUUCUGUGUGCACGAUGAAGUUUUUCGGAAUGUAAAGUGCUUUCAGUUGGGAAGAAAAAAAUGACGGUACCAACAGAAGAAGUGACGGCUAAAUACGUG